GUUUGAUCAUGGCUCAGGAUGAACGCUGGCGGCGUGCCUAAUACAUGCAAGUCGAACGAACUUCCGUUAAUUGAUUAUGAGGUGCUUGCACUGAAUGAGAUUUUAACACGAAGUGAGUGGCGGACGGGUGAGUAACACGUGGGUAACCUGCCCAGAAGCAGGGGAUAACACCUGGAAACAGAUGCUAAUACCGUAUAACAGAGAAAACCGCCUGGUUUUCUUUUAAAAGAUGGCUCUGCUAUCACUUCUGGAUGGACCCGCGGCGCAUUAGCUAGUUGGUGAGGUAACGGCUCACCAAGGCGAUGAUGCGUAGCCGACCUGAGAGGGUAAUCGGCCACAUUGGGACUGAGACACGGCCCAGACUCCUACGGGAGGCAGCAGUAGGGAAUCUUCCACAAUGGACGCAAGUCUGAUGGAGCAACGCCGCGUGAGUGAAGAAGGGUUUCGGCUCGUAAAGCUCUGUUGUUAAAGAAGAACGUGGGUGAGAGUAACUGUUCACCCAGUGACGGUAUUUAACCAGAAAGCCACGGCUAACUACGUGCCAGCAGCCGCGGUAAUACGUAGGUGGCAAGCGUUAUCCGGAUUUAUUGGGCGUAAAGCGAGCGCAGGCGGUCUUUUAAGUCUAAUGUGAAAGCCUUCGGCUCAACCGAAGAAGUGCAUUGGAAACUGGGAGACUUGAGUGCAGAAGAGGACAGUGGAACUCCAUGUGUAGCGGUGAAAUGCGUAGAUAUAUGGAAGAACACCAGUGGCGAAGGCGGCUGUCUGGUCUGUAACUGACGCUGAGGCUCGAAAGCAUGGGUAGCGAACAGGAUUAGAUACCCUGGUAGUCCAUGCCGUAAACGAUGAUUACUAAGUGUUGGAGGGUUUCCGCCCUUCAGUGCUGCAGCUAACGCAUUAAGUAAUCCGCCUGGGGAGUACGACCGCAAGGUUGAAACUCAAAAGAAUUGACGGGGGCCCGCACAAGCGGUGGAGCAUGUGGUUUAAUUCGAAGCUACGCGAAGAACCUUACCAGGUCUUGACAUCUUCUGCCAACCUAAGAGAUUAGGCGUUCCCUUCGGGGACAGAAUGACAGGUGGUGCAUGGUUGUCGUCAGCUCGUGUCGUGAGAUGUUGGGUUAAGUCCCGCAACGAGCGCAACCCUUAUUACUAGUUGCCAGCAUUCAGUUGGGCACUCUAGUGAGACUGCCGGUGAC
rnacentral:rRNA from 1 species